rnacentral:tRNA from 1 species
AAUAAGAUGCCUGAUAAAAUUUUAAAGGAUUAUUUUGAUGUAAUAAAUUAUGUGAUAAUUAUUCACUCUUAUUA